UCCCUAAUAGCUCAGAUGGUAAAGAAUCUGCCUGCAAUGCAGGAGACCUGGGUUCGAUCCCUGGGUUGGGAA
rfam:TPA: Bos taurus chromosome 27, whole genome shotgun sequence.